rnacentral:rRNA from 1 species
AGCUCCAAUAGCGUAUAUUAAAGUUGUUGUGGUUAAAAAGCUCGUAGUUGGAUCUCAGUUCCUGUCCAGUGCGGUCCACUUGCCAGUGGUUCACUGCACUGACUGAACACUAUUAUCGACCCUGUCUAUGGUGCUCUUAAUCGGGUGUCAUAGGCGAUCGACACGUUUACUUUGAAAAAAUUAGAGUGCUCAAAGCAGGCGAUUUCGCCCGAAUAAUGUUGCAUGGAAUAAUGGAAUAGGAUCUCGGUUCUAUCU